AAAAACAUAUCCAGUCUUGAAUAAGACUGGUAUUGUUUAGAAAAAUAUGUGAAAUCUAAAUCCACUGGAUUCAGAGUUCGCCAGACGUCAUAAAGCUGAAAUUUUGCAAGAGUCUCUUGGAAAGCCUUCGCCAAGCAAUUGGACGAUGAAUCCAAUUGUUUACCUUUUUGUGUCCUCCUAUCCAUGGUGGGAUCUGCUACACUAUUAAAGCCCCCCAUACAUAGAAAGGAUCCUUGAAUCAGGUUGUGUACCUGUGCCAG